rnacentral:lncRNA from 1 species
AGCUAUCACCUCCCAAGCAGAAAAAGCAUGCCCGGGAAUCGAACUCAGGUCGGAAUUAGGAUACUUGCCUACAACCAACCCAUUCUAUCAUGACUUCCCUAGUCUUAUUCCCAAGUCUUAUUUCCGUGUAUCAGCUAGUAACCAACAUACUUCCUCAACGGCUUCUUCCUGUUUAAACCUGGGUAGUUGCCUUAAUCAACCUGUUACAUCAUGAUUUCCCCCAGAGAACAACUCACCAGUGG